AUUGAACGCUGGCGGCAGGCCUAACACAUGCAAGUCGAACGAGUGGCGGACGGGUGAGUAAUGUCUGGGAAACUGCCUGAUGGAGGGGGAUAACUACUGGAAACGGUAGCUAAUCCCGCAUACCAUCAGAUGUGCCCAGAUUGGAUUAGCUAGUUGGUGGGGUAACGGCUAACCAAGGCGACGAUCCCUAGCUGGUCUGAGAGGGUGACCAGCCACACUGGAACUGAGACACGGGCCAGACUCCUACGGGAGGCAGCAGUGGGGAAUAUUCCACAAUGGGCGAAAGCCUGAUGCAGCCAUGCCGCGUGUAUGAAGAAGGCCUUCGGGUUGUAAAGUACUUUCAGCGGGGAGGCGUUACCCGCAGAGGAAGCACCGGCUAACUCCGUGCCAGCAGCCGCGGUAAUUC
rnacentral:rRNA from 1 species